rnacentral:lncRNA from 1 species
UUGUGAUCAUUGUAUGAUUCAGUCCCAACAACCAAGGACUAUAUAGUAGUUGGUAAUGGUAGUGACUACAAGCAUCUCAACUUAAAAUGGCCUCUUUCACAAAUUUUUCGACAACCUCGUACUCAUAUUCCUCCCUGCAAAAAUUUAAAGGCACUUGUAUUAUUGUACCCGCUUCAUGAAGGAUGGUGUUUAUUGUUUUUCUCGAUGUCUUAUGUCCGUUGGUUCCACUUUGUAGAAAAUAGG